rnacentral:rRNA from 1 species
UGGGGAAUAUUGCACAAUGGGGGAAACCCUGAUGCAGCAAUGCCGCGUGUGUGAAGAAGGCCUGCGGGUUGUAAAGCACUUUCGAUAGGGAAGAUUAUGACGGUACCUAUAGAAGAAGCACCGGCUAACUCCGUGCCAGCAGCCGCGGUAAUACGGAGGGUGCGAGCGUUAAUCGGAAUUACUGGGCGUAAAGCGCGCGUAGGCGGCUUUGUUAGUCGGAUGUGAAAUCCCCGGGCUUAACCUGGGAACUGCAUUCGAUACUGCAAAGCUAGAGUAUGGAAGAGGGAAGUGGAAUUCCGGGUGUAGCGGUGAAAUGCGUAGAUAUCCGGAGGAACACCAGUGGCGAAGGCGACUUCCUGGGCCAAUACUGACGCUGAGGUGCGAAAGCGUGGGGAGCAAACAGG